GUGAUUGCUUCGCUCGCCUCCUCCACCACCAGACACCAGCCCAAACUACCUCGCCAGCUCCCUCUGCCUCCCCCUCCCUCCUCCCGUCGCCGCAGCACGCAGCUCCGCCGGUUUUCACGGCUUGGAGCAGAUCUGCCACGCCACCGCCGCGUAGACCAACUUGGUGGAGGGAUCCCGUCCGAAUCUGAUUCCUAUUCUCCAGCUCGACCGCUGUAGCGAGAGGAGAGAGAGAAAGGAGCAGUGGCGACGAGGUCUAUGGCAUCGAUGGCAGCGUACCUGGCCUGGCUCGGCGGGCGGCGCAGAAGAAGUGGGUGCACCUGCUUUACCACACGGCGCUCAACUUCCACCGCCACCUCUUCUACCAGGAAAUCAGUUCCCCCAAUCCUCCCCUCUUCGCCUCCCUUUUGAUCUCGAUCUGCCUUCCUGCUCGCGGACGGGACUGGCCUUGUGUUGUCUCUCCCGCGCAGGCGUCAGAUCUCCUCGACAAGUUUGAGACCAACUGCCACGUGGUUUCUUUAGGGGUAUUCACUGAAGGCGACAGCUGAUCGUCAUUCAUAGAUUGCAAGCAAUAGGGGAAAGUCACUUCAUCCAAAUAAUGGUCAUUGCCUUUUCUUCAGAAUGCUCUAUUUACCUAUUUGUAAUUACUCCCCUCUCAUCUGACAUGUAGAGUAUUUGACAUAUUCGUUGUAUUAGAGAGUUUGACAUGUUCGUUGUAUAAUAUGAUUUUAUCGAUCUUGAUAUAUAUUUGAAUGGUUGAGCGCCCGAUAGGGCGCUUUC